AGGGAAAGAUGGGGGCAUGCCUUACACAUGCCAGUCGAACGGCAGCACGGGUGCUUGCACCUGGUGGCGAGUGGCGAACGGGUGAGUAAUACAUCGGAACAUGUCCUGUAGUGGGGGAUAGCCCGGCGAAAGCCGGAUUAAUACCGCAUACGAUCUACGGAUGAAAGCGGGGGACCUUCGGGCCUCGCGCUAUAGGGUUGGCCGAUGGCUGAUUAGCUAGUUGGUGGGGUAAAGGCCUACCAAGGCGACGAUCAGUAGCUGGUCUGAGAGGACGACCAGCCACACUGGGACUGAGACACGGCCCAGACUCCUACGGGAGGCAGCAGUGGGGAAUUUUGGACAAUGGGCGAAAGCCUGAUCCAGCAAUGCCGCGUGUGUGAAGAAGGCCUUCGGGUUGUAAAGCACUUUUGUCCGGAAAGAAAUCCUUGGCCCUAAUACGGUCGGGGGAUGACGGUACCGGAAGAAUAAGCACCGGCUAACUACGUG
rnacentral:rRNA from 1 species